rnacentral:rRNA from 1 species
UACGAAGGGGGCUAGCGUUGCUCGGAAUCACUGGGCGUAAAGCGCACGUAGGCGGAUUGUUAAGUCAGGGGUGAAAUCCUGGAGCUCAACUCCAGAACUGCCUUUGAUACUGGCGAUCUCGAGUCCGGGAGAGGUGAGUGGAACUGCGAGUGUAGAGGUGAAAUUCGUAGAUAUUCGCAAGAACACCAGAGGCGAAGGCGGCUCACUGGCCCGGUACUGACGCUGAGGUGCGAAAGCGUGGGGAGCAAACAGG